rnacentral:rRNA from 1 species
GAGUUUGAUCCUGGCUCAGGAUGAACGCUGGCGGUAUGCCUAACACAUGAAGUCGAACGAAAUCUUCGGAUUUAGUGGCGGACGGGUGAGUAACGCGUGAGAAUCUGCUUCAGGACGGGGACAACAGUUGGAAACGACUGCUAAGACCCGAUGUGCCGAGAGGUGAAUAUUUAUAGCCUGAAGAGGAGCUCGCGUCUGAUUAGCUAGUUGGUAGUGUAAGGGACUACAAGGCUAUGAUCAGUAGCUGGUUUGAGAGGACGAUCAGCCACACUGGGACUGAGACACGCCCAGACUCCUACGGGAGGCAGCAGUGGGGAAUUUUCCGCAAUGGGCGAAAGCCUGACGAGCAAUACCGCGUGAGGGAGGAAGGCUCUUGGGUUGUAAACCUCUUUUCUUAAGGAAGAGUUCUGACGGUACUUAAGGAAUAAGCAUCGGCUAACUCCGUGCCAGCAGCCGCGGUAAU